rnacentral:rRNA from 1 species
GAUGAACGCUAGCUACAGGCUUAACACAUGCAAGUCGAGGGGAAACGGCAUCGAGAGCUCGCUCUUGAUGGACGUCGACCGGCGCACGGGUGAGUAACGCGUAUCCAACCUGCCCAUCACUCGGGAAUAACCUCUCGAAAGAGAGCCUAAUGCCCGAUGCAUUCCAUAGAGGACAUCUGAAGUGGAAUAAAGAUUCAUCGGUGACGGAUGGGGAUGCGUCUGAUUAGCUUGUUGGCGGGGUAACGGCCCACCAAGGCGACGAUCAGUAGGGGUUCUGAGAGGAAGGUCCCCCACAUUGGAACUGAGACACGGUCCAAACUCCUACGGGAGGCAGCAGUGAGGAAUAUUGGUCAAUGGGCGAGAGCCUGAACCAGCCAAGUAGCGUGCAGGAUGACGGCCCUAUGGGGUUGUAAACUGCUUUUAUACGGGAAUAAAGUGGGCCACGCGUGGUCUUUUGUCAUGUACCGUAUGAAUAAGGACCGGCUAAUUCCGUGCCAG